GUCUCUGUAGCUUAAGUAUCUUAAAGCAUUG
rnacentral:tRNA from 2 species